CUCGUAGGCGGCCAACUAAGUCGGACGUGAAAUCCCUCGGCUUAACCGGGGAACUGCGUCCGAUACUGGAUGGCUUGAGUUCGGGAGAGGGAUGCGGAAUUCCAGGUGUAGCGGUGAAAUGCGUAGAUAUCUGGAGGAACACCGGUGGCGAAGGCGGCAUCCUGGACCGACACUGACGCUGAGGAGCGAAAGCCAGGGGAAGCAAACG
rnacentral:rRNA from 1 species